UUAGCGGGGAGUGGUUUUGAAAAUCAAUCCAAAAUCAGAAAAACUAAAUUCAAAAAGAGGAACAGCUGUCAUAAGGAUACAGUAUGAUGGUCAUACAGUAGUGUACAGGGGUUUAGCAAGUGCUGCUAAUUGGCAUGCAACCUAAUGUGCCCUUUGUGGCUGUGUUUGCAAUGGUGAUUUACUCAUUUUAAAGUUGUUGUUUUUUUAGGUGUUUACAUGGUUUUGUCAGCUCCUUACUGCUAUGUGAUCAUAUUGCUGUGAUAUUUCCACGCUAUCUUUCUAAAACUGGCUAGUUGUUCUUCAUCGGGUCAAGUGCACACACUGCAUAAUGCAGAACAACUCCACAGAGAGCCCAGAGUUGUGAACCCAAUUUUGCAGACACCCUAAUUUAAAGGACUGGCAGACAACAACAUGAUUCUGUGGGACUUGUUCUGCUUGUUGAGGAGAUUACUUUGGAGGCAGAGGGCAUUGUGUGGAGAUGAUAGUCAGUGAGAAUAAAAUCAAGUGUUGAGCAGGACUGAUCCCACUUUACGCUUUUAGGGUCAGUGGUCGAAAUGGGCACUCGGCCUCCAGGUCCCCGGGACAUGGAUCAGGGGCCCCAACGUAUAUAUAUCCGCUGAUUACAUCUCCUGAAGUGGAAAACAUGCAAAUAAUAAAUGUAUGAGCAACGUGCUUGUUUUUUUGCUUGAUUAAUUAUGCCGUUUAAUUCCAGAUCCACCACGCCGCUCCACCGUAUAAUUUCCCAGUGGUCUUGGCUGUUUCUUCUCUCACAUGCGGUCUCUCCUUUUUUUCCUUAUUGCAAAAUGAAUCAUGGAUCCAACCGUCUGUACCCGGGGGAGAGUGGCGAGCUGGCGAAUGGGCUGACCAAUCAUGAGCAUCAGAGGCAGACACACAGACGGAGGGAGUCUUUUGUUGUGUGCUGCACUCAUCAAGUUAGAAGACAACUACCGAUUUGGCCCGAAGAAAAUUAAAAGAUGAAGUGACUGGCCAGUGUGUGUUUAUCUGAGUGGGUGGCAGAGUUUCAGCGCCAUUCAUAAUGUCAAGUGGGACCAUGACUGCUCUUCUAUUCCCAGCCUGGCCAACCCUCUCUCAGCCUCCUGACAGUUCCAGGUUCAAGUCUCAGCUAAGUUAAUUCUUCACUUAGCGUGAUCCCGAUAUUCAGGAGAGACCACGGAGAGGGCCCUGCCAAUCGAUGUCCAAUUAGCAAGACUGCCUAGCCCAGAGAAGAGGGGGAUGACCGCUGUGGCCAUUUUAGAGAACAGGAGGUUGGCGUGGGGUCUGGAGGUGAAGGUAGAGGUUUAGAGGAGAAGAGAUAAAAAAAGAAAGGAAAGGAGGAAGGAGAGGAAGCAUGAAAGAGAGGUGAAAAGUGGGUGAAAAGAAAGCAUUCGAGGUCUGUAAGUGGGUGGAGGUGAGGAAGGAGCACUGGGGUCUGAGGAGGUGGGGUGUAGAUGUUAGAUGCUCAAUCAAGCUGUGUGAGGACAGUGUAAUUAAUCCAUUGAAGAUGUCUGAUUGCAGAUGACUUUGGGAAUACCAGAGUGGUGGCUGGGCCUCAGGGAAGGGGGAGGGCAGGAACAAGAUGGAUGCAGGGAUGCGGGGAGUGGAAAAGCGGAAGGGCAAACAGAGGAAGAGAGUGAGAUUAAUUGAGACAAGGGAGAUACAGUACCUUUUAAAUGAGAAGGAUGAGUUUCGGUGACAAUGUAGAAAAAAGAAAGAAAGAAAAAAGAAAGAAAGAAUUGAUCAUGUCAGGGUUAGGUCGAACCAUCACUCACAGCACUAUAGGGAUGAAGACCUCCACCAGAUGUCACAUGUAUGUAAAGAAAGAAUCACGAGGCUGCUAACUCAUCCCUGAGUUUCUCACUGCUAAAACACUCUCUUGCGAGACAAAUGAGUGUCUGUUCUGUUCUAAUGCUAAUAUGCUUUUAAGGCACUAUUAGCCGGCAGAGUUUUGCUUUUAUUUAAUGGACUAUUAAUUUGUUUGAAUGCAUUUUGUCUCUGUGGCUGCAGCACAGAGUUGGCUUGGCUUUAGCUUGGCUGCUGAACGGCACAUGAUUUACUUACCCACAGCUAUUUGGAGGCUAAGCCUUUAUAAUCUAAUUAAAUUUGAUAAAGCAGAGUAAUCAUUAGAGUAUUAUGGCGAGUACUAAUCGUACUGAUAUGGUAAUUUUGAUCUAUCGUGACUGAAUGUUUUUAUUAAGGGUUUUUUGCAUUCAUGUCUGAAUAUGUUUUAAGCUGCAUUCACUUUGUUGAGGUAUGUGGUUGAUAGCAACACUAAUGUUCAUUGUUUUCAGGAAGAGACUGGCAGUAAACUGUGUUGGAUAUUCACAAGGCACCACCUUUCAUGCAUGCAGGUAGAAAACGCUGACAAAAGUUGAAUUCUCUAAAUGUUUGACUUCUUUCAUGGCAGAGAAGACAGACUAGAUCUUGACAAGUCGAAAAGCACUUUUCCUCUCUUGACAAUUCAAGUCAAAUGGGUGCACACACCUGUACAAACAGUGCAGUCUGUACGUAGUAGGACAGUCACACAUUGUUGUUGUUUUGGCUCUGUACUGUUUUUUUUAUUUGUUUAUAUUUUCAUUCAUAUACUGUGUCUGGGUCCUAUGUCUAUCACUUUUGUCUAUCAUUGUGAAGCACCUUGUGACAUCUGUUUAACAAAGGUGCUGUAUUAAACUUAGUUACUUGCUUAAUCAAGCAAAUUGGAUUUUAAAUGAAACAAUUACUAUCUGAUUAACGCUGCUUUCAACCUUAAUUUGAGUGUUUACAUUCAUAUCAGAUGAAUAGUGUAACAACUGUAGCCCUUUUUAUAUAUAGUUGCUGAAUAGGGGACAGAAGUAAUUAUACAUUCAGUAAAAUACAGUAUAUAUAAAUUAAAUCAUCAUAUUAAUAUUUGGCAUCCAAGCCUUUGCAGUCAAUAACAACCCAUAGACCUCAUCAGACACUUGGUAUCAUCCCUGGUGAUGCUCUACCAGAUCUGUACUGUAAACAGCUUCACUUCAUGUUUGUUUCAGGGCUUUCUGCUUUCUGUCUAGUCUUCAAGUGAAGCACAUAAUCAGUCGGAUUAAAGUCAGGUGACUAACUGGGCAAGUCAAUAAUGUUCCACUGUUUUCCCAAAAAACUCCUUGGUUGCUUGGUCUGUAUAUUUAUAAUCAUUGUAUAUUUAUAAUCCUGCUGUAUUGUCCUAUGUAUUAAAAUGGUUACAAUUCCCAGACCGUUCAUCCAAUAUGGACGUAAACACCCUCAAACACCCUUGAAAGCUAAAAGCUGAAGGUCAACACUUGAUCCUCAUUUCAAAUCCAAUUCUGAGUACAGAACAAUGUAGUCACUGUCCUGCUGCUUUUUAGACCACACAGUUCAUUUGUCCUUUGUCAUCUUCUAAUAAAGAUAAGGUAGUAAAUGAACAUCUUUUUUUCUGCAGACCGUUGUACAGUCAGAGAAAAAGAAGGAAUUUCAUGUUUUAG